rnacentral:rRNA from 1 species
UACGUAGGGGGGCUAGCGUUGUCCGGAAUUAUUGGGCGUAAAGGGCGCGUAGGCGGCUUUGCAAGUGACGGGUGAAAGCCCUCGGCUUAACCGAGGAACUGCCUGUCAGACUGUGAGGCUUGAGACCGGGAGAGGUGAGUGGAAUUCCCAGUGUAGCGGUGAAAUGCGUAGAUAUUGGGAGGAACACCAGUGGCGAAGGCGGCUCACUGGACCGGAACUGACGCUGAGGCGCGAAAGCGUGGGGAGCAAACAGG